AAACCAUGAUUCAGAAUCUUUUGCAAGUACUCUUUGAAUCUCUCCCAAGCUUCAUAUAGCUAUUCCCCCGGUCGUUGCUUAAAUUCAUAAAUCUUGUCUCUAAUCUC